ACAGCAACAUUCGGACCGUCGGUCUACCGAGCAAUAUCAUCCGCUCGGUGGAAGAUCUUCCCUUUGUCGUUAAUC
rnacentral:pre_miRNA from 1 species